CCGAGUGCUUGCACUCAAUUGGAAAGAGGAGUGGCGGACGGGUGAGUAACACGUGGGUAACCUACCCAUCAGAGGGGGAUAACACUUGGAAACAGGUGCUAAUACCGCAUAACAGUUUAUGCCGCAUGGCAUAAGAGUGAAAGGCGCUUUCGGGUGUCGCUGAUGGAUGGACCCGCGGUGCAUUAGCUAGUUGGUGAGGUAACGGCUCACCAAGGCCACGAUGCAUAGCCGACCUGAGAGGGUGAUCGGCCACACUGGGACUGAGACACGGCCCAGACUCCUACGGGAGGCAGCAGUAGGGAAUCUUCGGCAAUGGACGAAAGUCUGACCGAGCAACGCCGCGUGAGUGAAGAAGGUUUUCGGAUCGUAAAACUCUGUUGUUAGAGAAGAACAAGGACGUUAGUAACUGAACGUCCCCUGACGGUAUCUAACCAGAAAGCCACGGCUAACUACGUGCCAGCAGCCGCGGUAAUACGUAGGUGGCAAGCGUUGUCCGGAUUUAUUGGGCGUAAAGCGAGCGCAGGCGGUUUCUUAAGUCUGAUGUGA
rnacentral:rRNA from 1 species